UGGGGAAUUUUGGACAAUGGGCGCAAGCCUGAUCCAGCCAUGCCGCGUGCGGGAAGAAGGCCUUCGGGUUGUAAACCGCUUUUGUCAGGGAAGAAAUCUUCUGAGUUAAUACCUCGGGAGGAUGACGGUACCUGAAGAAUAAGCACCGGCUAACUACGUGCCAGCAGCCGCGGUAAUACGUAGGGUGCAAGCGUUAAUCGGAAUUACUGGGCGUAAAGCGUGCGCAGGCGGUUUUGUAAGACAGAGGUGAAAUCCCCGGGCUCAACCUGGGAGCUGCCUUUGUGACUGCAAGGCUUGAGUGCGGCAGAGGGGGAUGGAAUUCCGCGUGUAGCAGUGAAAUGCGUAGAUAUGCGGAGGAACACCGAUGGCGAAGGCAAUCCCCUGGGCCUGCACUGACGCUCAUGCACGAAAGCGUGGGGAGCAAACAGGAUUAGAUACCCUGGUAGUCCACGCCCUAAACGAUGUCAACUGGUUGUUGGGAAGGUUCCUUCUCAGUAACGUAGCUAACGCGUGAAGUUGACCGCCUGGGGAGUACGGCCGCAAGGUUGAAACUUAAAUGAAUUGACGGGG
rnacentral:rRNA from 1 species